UAUAAACUAAUUUAAGAUUACAGGGCUAAAGGUAGUAAAAUUAUCUUAAUUUUUUUUUUUUUUUAAUCCCAUCUGACAACACUCUUCUAAAUUUGUUGACACUGUAUCUCAUGCAGGUGAAGCACAAUUCUGCUGAAGCUUCCUGAGAGCUUUGUGAACAUGAUUUCAAUGAAAACAUAAUUUAGCUGAAGCCUGAGGACUGGGGGGACUCCUGGUGCAACAAGAAUACCAAAAUAUUUCUAAACUGGGCUACACUGUGUGAAGAAGAUGCUUUGUGAGCUGAGAAAAUGAGUGGCGGAGAUUUAAUCUGGUGCCUUGCCUUUGCCCGAAUAAGGAGAUGCAGAAAGACUGUGAAGAUAAACUUCAAAGGUUCUGAUGACUGUCUCAUUUUCUCCUAGGGAACUUAUGAACACCAUUAUAACAUUUUGCCCUUAUUGAAUAUGGUCAGAAUGUCCCAUAAGGUGGCAUGAGACAGGGAAGGUGGCCUCCAUUUGUCCCCUCUGGCAUACUGGAACGGAUAGACUGCCCAUAAGCCAAAUCUGGUUGCCUUCUCUCCUACUAUUCCGUUCAGGUAUCUAAUAUUAAAAAUGACCAGUAUCUUCUGGGCUUUUUGUUUCAAAAUGGGAAUGGAAACCUUUAAGGUGGGCUAUAACGAGCACUGAAUUCAGCAAGGCUAAAGACACCUCGCAGCCCCACGAGAUGCAGAGCACCUUGCCAAACACCUUUACCAGCCAUCCUGCUGGUAAAAUCAUCCUGAAAAGUGACAUCAAGCAGCAUAAAAUUAGAAAACACACAUUGAUCUGAAUGGUGACCUAGAAGUGAUGUAUGCAAUGGGAUCGCAGCGUACCUCAGUGAGAACGAGGACAAUUUUACUGCGACACUGUUACUUUUUGUUCGACUUUUCUGUCCAGAAAGAACUCCAAAAACCUGAACAAUUUCCACAGGAGAAGGUGGCGUCUAGGAAAUAGACUUCAGCGUCUCAAUUUGAUCCGGGUUUGAUUCUGAGUCUCCAGCAGCCCUGGAAGCAGCCUUUUCUAAAGUAAAUUAAUUCAAUAAGCUAAAUAGCAGCAUGAUCACUGCAUCCUGUCGGUGUGACACCUGGCGUAAAACCACUUCAAACCAGACUGUUUUGUACAGACUCAGUAGUGUCGUGAGUUUUGAUUUUUGUGGGAGAAGCAGAAGUCAGUUCUGGAGCGCUCAUUUACUACCGUGCUGAUAAGCACCUGAUCUGCUGCUGAUAAUCACUUUCCUCUUCUUUAAUUACAGCUCUGGUUUUCUAUUGACACUUCAUGUAGCCAGUGCUAGAUGUUCCAGUACUAAUGAAUUUGAUUACACUAUACCAGAUAAUGGAUCAAGUAACACCGUAUCAGCUCUUCUAUGAAAGAACGUAAACACCUUUUAUGUUCUAGCAGCUUGCUGCUUUCUUCAUGACAUUGUAUUUAUUCUAUCUUGAUUUCUAGCUCUGAGCAUGAUGAAUGCAUAUAUUCUCAAUUUCUCAUAGGGAGGGUGGCAAGCACUGUAAUAGAUAACUUCAAAGCAUAAUGAAAAGAAAAAUGCAAUAAGCCAUAUUUAGGAGUCUAACCAAUUUUUUUCUCAUCAUUUUGACUGAUGAAAAUGGAGCAGCAUGAUCUAUGUGAAUGUGUAAUCCUUUUCUUACUUGGGAGGCUUCAAAUACUGCCUUGCUGGGCUUUUGAAAUGGCAUGAUUAUGACUGAAUUGCGCAUUGCCAAGAAGGAUUCCAUUUUUCUAAGAACAUAGUAAAGUAAAAUUAUCAAGAUUAUAAAGAAGUUAUGGUUUAUUCGAGCCAGCAAAAAGACAGCUUCAAACUGACCAUUUCAUCAGCUUUUUUUCCUCAUCGCUACGUGCAGUUUAACAUUUGCACAUUCCUAUUAACUUUCCAAUUUGUUUCUGAAGAUGGUAUUAUGCAUGGUCUAGUAAAAAUAAGCUUGAUUUUUCCAGGAAGACUGGUAGAGAAAAAUUGAUGGGCAGACAUCAGCUAGUGUUUUGAACGUUUAGAUCAGUAUUUUCAUUUAGGGAGUAGGGAAAAUUUAAUUCAAAAACAUUAUAGCUCUAGACCCUCAAAACUGAACUUGUCUUGAAGAGGCUUCAAGUCUUUCAGGUAAACUGUAUUAACCUCACUAAAAUCAGAAACAAAAUGCUUUUCUAAAGAAAAGAAGAGUGUUAAGCCGACACAUUACUUUGCAAGCUAUAUUAUUUAAAAAAUCAUCAAAAAUAACCUUUCCAACAACCAGCUUCAGUUUUCUGGAUAAACUAAUACAAUUUUCCCCCUUUUAAAGGGUCUUGGUGCAAUUUUAGACAUAUUCAAUAGCAACAAAAUGGACGCGGGCAGUUUGGAAACACAGGCAAUUAAAAAAAAUAGUUGUGAUCAGGUCUCUCUGUUCAUGUGACAGAAUUCCUCACUGCACAAGGAGCACAGCUGACUUCUGCAGCAAGCUGCUAUUUAACGCAGAGGGAGAUGGUGGUCUCAGGCACUGGUCCCAAUAACAAAGGUACUGCUGAAGGUGCAAUCGCCAGCUUGGUUUCUAAAACCAUUUUUGGAAAAAGGUAGACUUAAGUUUUCAGUGAUUCACUAUUCCAGCUAUUUAAUGCUUUCUGAAAUUUAAAUCCUCUUGAGGAGAAUCACUUUGAAAAACUGAGGCUUAGUACUUAAUUUUAUCAGGAAAAACUUUCGGUGCCUGAAAAUACUCCAGAUAUUGGGAGAGGUAGGUUGGCUGACUGAUUUUGUGGCCUCUCAAGGAGAAAAACCUAACAGCUUCCCAUAGCUCAGGAGUACAAAUAAAGGAAGAAAAGUUCCAGUGGAGUCCGAUGAUGGCAGAGCUGUCUCUGGCAGUAACCACACUGGUUAACUGGGCACUAUUAGGGCAAAGUUUGAAAACUUGGGAGUGACAAUACAGGUGAACAGCACGUGCUGCUGUUCAGUCCGGAGUCCGCUUGUCCAAGUACAGUUUCUUCACUAGCUGGAAGAGAUGAGUGAUGGUUUAGUUGAAAGGCAGCCUAAGUUGUAACAUUUAUCUUUCUUGCUAAACAAAACUGCGCCACACAGGGAUGCACCUAUAGUGAUGGAACCACUGAAGCAAAAUGCAGAGUACAUUCCUCAGAGCUGGAGCCAACGGAUUUUGGAACAGUUUUAAGAAGCCAGUAUAUUUUUGAUCAACAUUAAGGAGACAGUUAUUGAGUGUUUGGAAGUCUGGACAGGAAUGGGACUUGUGCAUCCUCAGGGGAAGAACCACGCGUAGAUCCUUUUUCCACAGAAACCCCAAACCUCUGGUAAGCCUGAAAUGGCAGUAGAGUUAGGAGCAGAUCCUAAAAGAAACAUGGCAGAGCUGGGGCAUAGAGUAAAUAGACAAUCCCUUAGCUCUGGUUGAAGGGCUGUGUGGUUGAAAUAGUGUUCAGGAAGCCUUAACGGGUUAAUGAUAUCCUUCCAUUAAGGAGAAAUAGCUAAGGAAAGAACCAUGAAUCAUAGGUACUAGAUCCAGUGUGGGAGAGGUCAUGACCUAUUCUGUCCCCAAAAGUUAGGAUGGUAAAGUUGCAUACUUUCAAUCUUUCUUCAUGUCUGGGGCAAUAAUUUAAAGUUAAAAUAUUCUUGUUUUCUAUAAAUUAUGAGGAAACAGUAUUAUAAAGCCUGAUCUCUCUCCUAAUAACACAAAUAAAGCAUCCCUGUGGGAUCUGCAGCAACUGUUUUCACAUGAGCCUAGUAAGAUCUGUAACUGGCUUUCAUGUGACAGAUGCUUUUGUCCUUUUUUAAAGCACACUGUUUACACUCUCACUAAGUUUUUUUUCAAGCCAAUGCUACGUUUUCUCUGCCUUUUUUUUCACCCUUUCCUUUCGUUUCCUUUGCCCGUUCCCAGUCCUCUCAGCUCUCAUGAUCAUGCUUCCCUGCCACCCUCUACUCAUCCUCUGCUCCUUCGACAUGUGGUACCCUGCUCCCAUACUUCCCCAUAGCUGUCUCCUCCUCGAAUCACUAGUCUCACUGGGAGCACCUAACAAUAGGUAUAUCCAAUAGUAAUGAUGACUGUCACUGCUCAUGGGAUGGGGGAAAAGGGAAAACAGCAGCAGUGAGAUUUUUUUAAGAAUGUCACUCUAUGAUUUAGCAAAUUUAAUCUGUAUUUUUCAAUGCUUUCUAUAUGUAUUGAAAAUCUUUACUACCUUAUCACACAGACAAAUUAAUGGAUUAGUUUGAAGCACGCCAAGUUCUAUCAAAAUGGAAAUGCACUAACGCUAUCUUGCUUUGUUUUCAGAAGACCGAUACGUAUUCUAACAAAACUAACUACUUCAGUCUAUAGUUUAAAAAAUUAUGACCAGCUAUUUCCCUUUCUGCUAUUCUAUCAGUUUUGUACAGAUUCUUGUGAUACUAAAGGAAAAGCAUCGACUGUAAUUGGGUCCUGGUCCCUGAGAUUUAUUUUUGGAAGAUUAUACCGUCUAUAACUCUGCCAGACUGCAACGGGCCCAGGACAUUACAGAAUACGUAGUCAGAGCGCAGCCGCACAGAAUGUCUAUCUCAUAUCUGUAAUGAAGUAAAAAAUCACCAAUUGCUGCUUUAGCCUAUUUUAUAACUUUAAAUAAAAUAGUAUCUAUUUCUAGCUAACUUUAGAUAAGUCAUAACUGUAAAUUGUGCAUUUUCACACAGAUAUACAUUUGUCUGGUUCAGCAGCAUUUACAGGAAACCUGUAAUUUCUAAUUGCUGAGACUUGCACUUGCUUUUUCUUUGUGCUAAUUAAUGAAGAAUCUGCAUGUGGUUGAGAGGGGUGAAAAGGAAGGUAGGUAGAAAACCAGGACUAUACCUCCAUAUGCAUACAUGCAGUAGCAAAGGUGGCAGAGUUCUCUAUAUUUUUCAGUUUACUUUUUAUUGAGCUGAGACUAGUAAUUUGCUGUUUAUACUCCCUGCAUACUUGGGCAUUUUGCAUUAUCGUCAAUAUACUGCUGCAUAACUAACGUGCUAGCCUGCAGAAGCAUUAGUAUAGUGUUAAAUAUAUAUGGGUCCUAAAAUAUAUGUUAGAUAUCCAUUUUAUUUUGAAAAUCUUCAUUACAGUUACUUCUGUAAAAAAAGGAUUUUGCAAUACUUAAAUCAUUUUGCUUACAGUAUAAGUAGUAAGGCUUAAGAAAGAAACAUUUUAUUUAAUAAGAGUAGGGGAUAUGUUGUUUUCAAAGAUGAUGCUCUUAAAAAAAUACAGAAAUAUCAUAAGAACUUCCCUUAGUUUUGAAAAUAUUGCAGUUGUGAUGAGCACUGUAACUUGCAGACUCACGUAAGUAAAGAUGAUAGAAGCAACAUCAGCUGUGCUGAAGUAGUCUAUGCUAGUUAACCUAGGAUUCCUCUACAGGCAAUUGAGAGAUACGGGGUACUCCGGAGGGAAAUUCAUAUCACCCAUCUCAAGUAUUUAAAGAAUGGAUGGGAUUGCUCACCUUGUGGAGAUGUCUGCCUCCCCUCAUUAUAGAAGGAACAUAGAUGAAUAGUACAGCAGAGGUGGCAACUCCUUACUUAAUUAAGACUUCAUAAGAUAUGAAGAGUGGAGCUCAGAUUUUUUUUCCCACACAUACAUAAACUUAGAGAGUACUGAGCUAAACAAAAACCUUUGUUUACUGUAGCAAUUAUAUUAAGUUUUGAAGACAGCCUUUUAAAUAUAGUGGUAAUGUGCAUAUGUGUCUAUGACAAUUAUAUUACAGCAAAAAUAUGUGUGUUCACGAGAAACAGACCAUACUUACAGGAUCAAUAACUUGCCUGUUCGUUGCCUAAUAUUCUUAGAUAUAUCACUUCUGUGGCAUUUAGGAAAUGAAUUGACGCAUCAGUGAUAAAUUGAAUUUGGGAUACAGUUUCUUUGUCCUUGGUAAUAUAUCUAUUGUGUACUGCAUACGAUUGCAUCCAAUAAAGUUGUUUUCUAAA